rnacentral:lncRNA from 1 species
CAGCUUUUAAAAAAAAAAGAAAAAAUGAAUUACUUCAAUUUCUUCAAAGGGCAGCUCGAUAUAAAGAGCGGGACGUUAUACGGUGGAGAAAUUUCUACAUAUCUCUUCUAGAUUGUAGAAGAUACUUUUCGUUGUAGGCAAACAUGAAGGUAGCCGGCCUCUUCAUAAGUGCACUCGUGCUUUUUGCGCUUGUGCCGAGUGACGCACAAUAUGGAUACCGAUAUGAUGACGACUAUUAUCCUAGUGGACCAUUUUCUGGAUUAUUCGGCUACUACCGACAUGGAGGGCAUCACCAUCACGGCUUGUAUGGCCGUCCUCCCUAUUACCCUUACUAUGGGGAUGUGUACCAUCGUCAUCCUUUCGGCCGAUUCCGUCACCAUCAUCAUUUCCAUUACCCUUACUACUACUAGUAAAAGGAUUUAUUCAGCUGGUAGACAAAGUACUGCGAAUCAAACUGUGUGUUUGUGUCUUUCUUUGUGUUCUGCCUGCUUAAAUAAAAAAUGUGAAAAUUCA